GGGGCAGUGGCUCAGCUGGCAGAGCGCAUCCUUCGCAAGGAUGAGGCCGGGAGUUCGAAUCUCCUCUGCUCCACCA
rnacentral:tRNA from 1 species